GACGAACGCUGGCGGCGUGCCUAAUACAUGCAAGUUGAGCGAUGAAGAUUGGUGCUUGCACCAAUUUGAAGAGCAGCGAACGGGUGAGUAACGCGUGGGGAAUCUGCCUUUGAGCGGGGGACAACAUUUGGAAACGAAUGCUAAUACCGCAUAAUAACUUUAAACAUAAGCUUUAAGUUUGAAAGAUGCAAUUGCAUCACUCAAAGAUGAUCCCGCGUUGUAUUAGCUAGUUGGUGAGGUAAAGGCUCACCAAGGCGAUGAUACAUAGCCGACCUGAGAGGGUGAUCGGCCACAUUGGGACUGAGACACGGCCCAAACUCCUACGGGAGGCAGCAGUAGGGAAUCUUCGGCAAUGGACGAAAGUCUGACCGAGCAACGCCGCGUGAGUGAAGAAGGUUUUCGGAUCGUAAAACUCUGUUGGUAGAGAAGAACGUUGGUGAGAGUGGAAAGCUCAUCAAGUGACGGUAACUACCCAGAAAGGGACGGCUAACUACGUG
rnacentral:rRNA from 1 species